UACGUAGGGUGCGAGCGUUAAUCGGAAUUACUGGGCGUAAAGCGUGCGCAGGCGGUUCGUUGUGUCGGCGGUGAAAGCCCCGGGCUCAACCUGGGAACCGCGCUUGAGACUGGAGAACUAGAGUUCGGGAGAGGAUGGUGGAAUUCCCAGUGUAGAGGUGAAAUUCGUAGAUAUUGGGAAGAACACCGAUGGCGAAGGCAGCCAUCUGGACCGACACUGACGCUGAGGCGCGAAAGCGUGGGGAGCGAACGAGG
rnacentral:rRNA from 1 species